CCUACGGGGGGCUGCAGUGGGGAAUAUUGCGCAAUGGGCGAAAGCCUGACGCAGCGACGCCGCGUGAGGGAUGAAGGUCUUCGGAUCGUAAACCUCUGUCAGCAGGGAAGAACGGUCACUGUGCUAAUCAGCAGUGAAUUGACGGUACCUGCAAAGGAAGCACCGGCUAACUCCGGGCCAGCAGCCGCGGUAAUACGGAGGGUGCGAGCGUUAAUCGGAAUUACUGGGCGUAAAGGGGUCGUAGGCGGUAUGUCAAGUCAAGGGGGAAAUCCCCGCGCUCAACGUGGGAACUGCCUUUGAAACUGGCAAACUGGAGUGUGUGAGAGGAUAGUGGAAUUCCAGGUGUAGGAGUGAAAUCCGUAGAUAUCUGGAGGAACAUCAGUGGCGAAGGCGACUAUCUGGCACAUAACUGACGCUGAGGAGCGAAAGCGUGGGUAGCAAACAGGAUUAGAUACCCCUGUAGUC
rnacentral:rRNA from 1 species